rnacentral:sRNA from 1 species
CCCUAGCCCUGAUGGGAGGGAAAAUCCUUUUGUGCCGGUCCCGAGGCUUCGGGAGGCAAAAAAGAUUGGAAGGAACAGAAGGAAAUAGC